AUUUGGGGACUUCUAUGUGAAGUCUUUGCCGAAGUCCACACCCUGGAAGAUGCAGGGAGGAUGAAAACGUGCCCAUCUGCCUCUGGCUUUUGAUUCCAGCCCCACCACAGCACAGCUGCCUUCGAAAACACAGGGCAGGAGCUUUCUGCAGCAGCGGCUGGUGGGACAGACAGAUGGACGGACACACACACACACAGGCAGCAGAACUGGAGCUUCCUGUAUCCACCACCGCAGUCACGACGCUGAACGCUGCGGCACCCCAAGGACGCCCUGGAUCACUCUUUUGCAACUGGACCGACCUCCUUCCUCUUCCUAAUCUGCCUCCAAGUCUCCAAGUCUGUUAUUUCAAGAAUCUUAUGUGAACGGAAUCAUACACCUUGUAACCUUCUGGGAGUGGCUUUUUCCCUCAAAAUCAUUCCCUGGAGAUUCCUGCAAGGUCUUGUGUGGCCCAGUCCGGGGUUCCUUUUCCCGAUCCGUGACGUGGAGGCACGACAGCAUCUUUAGCAUUCACCCACUGAAGGUCAACCAGGUGUUUCUGGUUUUUGGCUAUUAUGCAUAAGCUGCUAUGAACACUUGUAUACAGGUUCUUUUGUUUUUUAUUUUUAUUUUUUAGAGACAGGGUGUUGCUCUGUCGCCCAGGUUGGAGUGCAGUGGCACAAUCACAGCUCACUGUAGCCUCAAACUCCCAGGCUCAAGUGAUCCUCCCCACUCAGCCUUCUGAGUAGCUGGGACUACAAGUGUGCACCACCACGCCCUGCUAAUUUUUAAAGUUUUUUUAUAGAGACAGGGUCUUGCUAUGUUGCCUGGGCUGAUCGCAAACUCCUGACUAAGUAAUCCUCCCACCUCGGCCUCCAGGGUGUUGGGACUAUAGGCGUAAUCCACCACGCCCAGCCUUGUGUAUAGGUUUUGAUGCGAACCAAAGCUUCCAUUUCUCUGAGAUAAAUGGCCAAGAGCACAGUUGCCGGGUCUUAUGGCAGUUGUGUGUUUAGUUUUAUAAGAAACUGCCAAAUUGUUUUCCAGAGGGGCUGCACCAUGUGACAGGACCAGUAGCAGUUUCUUUUUCUUGUUCUUUUCUUUUUUUUUUUUUCGAGACGGAGUUUUGCUCUGUCGCCGAGGCUGGAGUGCAAUGGCACGAUCUCGGCUCACUGCAACUUGUACCUCCUCAGUUCAAGCAACUCUCCUGCCUCAGCCUCCCGAGUAGCUGGGAUUAUAGGCACCCGCCAUCAUGCCCAGCUAAUUUUUGUAGAGAUAGGGUUUCACCAUGUUGGCCAGGCUGGUUUCGAACUCCUGACCUCAGGUGAUCCACCCGCCUUGGCCUCCCAGAGUGCUGGGAUUACAGGCGUGAGCCACCACGCCUGGCCCCCAGUAGCAUUUUCUGAGUGAUCCUAUUUCUCUGCAUCCCCACCAGCAUUUGGCGUUGCCACUAUUUUUAAUUUCUGAUAGGUGUUGGUGGUAUCUCACUGUGGUUCUAAUUUGCAUUCCCCCCAUGGCUCAUGGGGUUGGACAGCUUUUCAUGUGCUCACUUGCCAUCUGUAUAUUCUCUUUGGUGAAAUGUCACCAUUGAAUUUGAAGCGAGUUUCUUGUAAACAGUGUAUGGUUAGGUUGUUUUUCAAAAAAUAGACUGCCAACCUCUUGCUUUUUA